rnacentral:rRNA from 2 species
CCGAAACCCGUUCAUAGUUCGGAUCGAGGGCUGUAACUCGCCCUCGUGAAGCUGGAUUCCGUAGUAAUCGUGUUUCAACAUAGCACGGUGAAUAUGCCCCUGCUCCUUGCACACACCGCCCGUCAAACCAUCUUAGUUGGGGGUGGGUGAGGCUGCGCUUUUUGGCGUAUUCGAGCCUGCCUUCGACAAGGAGGGUUAAGUCGUAACAAGGUAUCUGUAGGGGAACCUGCAGAUGGAUCACCUCCUAAGAAA